AGUGAACGCUGGCGGUAGGCCUAACACAUGCAAGUCGAACGGCAGCACAGUAAGAGCUUGCUCUUACGGGUGGCGAGUGGCGGACGGGUGAGGAAUACAUCGGAAUCUACUUUUUCGUGGGGGAUAACGUAGGGAAACUUACUCUAAUACCGCAUACGACCUACGGGUGAAAGCAGGGGAUCUUCGGACCUUGCGCGGUUGAAUGAGCCGAUGUCGGAUUAGCUAGUUGGCGGGGUAAAUGCCCACCAAGUGGACGAUCCGUAGCUGGUGUGAGAGGAUGGUCAGCCACACUGGAACUGAGCCACGGUCCAGACUCCUACGGGAGGCAGCAGUGGGGAAUAUUGGACAAUGGGCGCAAGCCUGAUCCAGCCAUACCGCGUGGGUGAAGAAGGCCUUCGGGUUGUAAAGCCCUUUUGUUGGGAAAGAAAAGCAGCAGGUUAAUACCCCGCUGUUCUGACGGUACCCAAAGAAUAAGCACCGGCUAACUUCGUG
rnacentral:rRNA from 1 species